rnacentral:rRNA from 1 species
CCUACGGGAGACAGCAGUAGGGAAUCUUCCACAAUGGGCGAAAGCCUGAUGGAGCAACGCCGCGUGGGUGAAGAAGGUCUUCGGAUCGUAAAACCCUGUUGUUAGAGAAGAAAGUGCGUGAGAGUAACUGUUCACGUUUCGACGGUAUCUAACCAGAAAGCCACGGCUAACUACGUGCCAGCAGCCGCGGUAAUACGUAGGUGGCAAGCGUUAUCCGGAUUUAUUGGGCGUAAAGGGAACGCAGGCGGUCUUUUAAGUCUGAUGUGAAAGCCUUCGGCUUAACCGGAGUAGUGCAUUGGAAACUGGGAGACUGGAGUGCAGAAGAGGAGAGUGGAACUCCAUGUGUAGCGGUGAAAUGCGUAGAUAUAUGGAAGAACACCAGUGGCGAAAGCGGCUCUCUGGUCUGUAACUGACGCUGAGGUUCGAAAGCGUGGGUAGCAAACAGGAUUAGAUACCCCUGUAGUC